rnacentral:rRNA from 1 species
UCCGUAGGCGGUGCGGCAAGUCGGAAGUGAAAUCUCCGGGCUUAACCCAGAGGCUGCUUCCGAAACUGCCGUGCUAGAGUGCGAGAGAGGCGAGUGGAAUUGCGGGUGUAGCGGUGAAAUGCGUAGAUAUCCGCAGGAACAUCCGAGGCGAAGGCGGCUCGCUGGAUCGCAACUGACGCUGAGGGACGAAAGCUAGGGGAGCAAACAGGAUUAGAUACCCUGGUAGUCCUAGCCCUAAACCAUCAGGACUUGGGAUUUGCCCUGUACGGGGCAAGUCCCGUAGCUAACGCGUUAAGUCCUGCGCCUGGGGAGUACGGUCGCAAGGCUGAA